rnacentral:lncRNA from 1 species
GCUAGGUACAAUUUCCUGAAAUUCUCUCCUAUUUUAUUUAUUCCCAUGUCUGAAUCUAUGCUCAAAAUAAGAUUGCAUAAAGUUUCCUUCCUGAACUGCUCUUGCCCCUCAAUCACAUGACAUCAUAUUAAGCCACACUGAGCUCAUCGGCCCAGCCAGAAGGUUAUAUUGAAUGUUAUACAAGCUUCAGCAACAUCUCCGGCAAAGUCUUCAACUCUUUCUGGAGGGACAACUCAUGUUUUUGGUUCCUUGAUUUGCCCAUUGGGUACAGAAUUGAGUUGGAAAUUCCUUUUCUCAAGUGA